rnacentral:rRNA from 1 species
UACGUAGGUGACAAGCGUUAUCCGGAAUUACUGGGCGUAAAGCGCCCGCAGGCGGUCGAGUAAGUCCGAUGUGAAAUCUUCUGGCUUAACUGGAAGCGGUCGUUGGAUACUGCUCGGCUUGAGGCAAAGAGAGGAGUGCAGAAUUCCUGGUGUAGUGGUGGAAUGCGUAGAGAUCAGGAGGAAUAUCUGUGGCGAAAGCGGCACUCUGGCUUUGACCUGACGCUCAGGGGCGAAAGCGUGGGGAGCGAACGGG